UACAGAGGUGGCAAGCGUUGUUCGGAAUUACUGGGCGUAAAGGGCGCGUAGGUGGCCUUUUGAGUCAGACGUGAAAUCCCCCGGCUUAACCUGGGAACUGCGUCUGAUACUGGAAGGCUUGAGUUCGGGAGAGGGAUGUGGAAUUCCAGGUGUAGCGGUGAAAUGCGUAGAUAUCUGGAGGAACACCGGUGGCGAAGGCGGCAUCCUGGACCGAAACUGACACUGAGGCGCGGAAGCCAGGGGAGCAAACAGG
rnacentral:rRNA from 1 species